rnacentral:rRNA from 1 species
AUUGAACGCUGGCGGCAGGCCUAACACAUGCAAGUCGAGCGAGAGGCGGACGGUUGAGUACUGUAUGGGGACUGCCCGAUAGCGGGGGAUAACAACAGGAAACGGUGGCUAAUACCGCAUAAUGUCGGCAAACCCAUAUGGGAUUAGUUAGUAGGGAAGGUAAUGGCUUACCUAGGCGACGAUCCCUAGCUGGUCUGAGAGGAUGAUACGCCACACUGGGACUGAGACACGGCCCAGACUCCUACGGAGGCAGCAGUGGGGAAUAUUGCACAAUGGGCGCAAGCCUGAGGCAGCCAUGCCGCGUGUAUGAAGAAGGCCCUAGGGUUGUAAAGUACUUUCAGUCGGGAGGCGUUACCGACAGAAGAAGCACCGGCUAACUCCGUGCCAGCAGCCGCGGUAAUUC